rnacentral:ncRNA from 2 species
UAUCUUUGGCCCGCGUCUGGUGCUCAUGCAUGCGCUUCGAAGCAGGCAUAGUCAAACGGGAAACAGGGAGCAAAAUAGAGCCAACCUGUGCUGUCCCCGCAACGGUACGCGACCGGCGGCGCUUUUUAAGCUUGGAGCGCCGCGCAUUCCUUUCACGGCCACUGCGCGGCAGCACGCGCGGGAAGGCGAACGGCAUGAGGUCGCAAGCCCGGAUACCGGCCAGCGCAAGUGGCGAAAA